CGGGCCGCCUUUGGUCCUGAGGGAGGAGCGGGGCGUCUCCUGGGAGCAGCUCCAGCAGAGCAUCCUGGCCCAGCUGCGGGCGCUGCUGCGGGGAGAGGUGCGGGCACAGGCAACAGGAGCCCUUUUCCGCAUCCGCCUGGCUGGGGGCUCGGUCCCCUGCAUCUACCUGUCCCCGCAGGACCCCCGCCCUCUCUGCCACCCUGCCAUUGACAGAGCCCUGCAGCUGAGCGGAGCAGGCGGCCCCCCCCACGUGAAGCUCACAGUGGAAUGGGACGUGAGCACCAAAGAGCG